CUACAGAUUACCAGUUCCCACAACACAGCUGGCCAAGAUUUCCAAACUGCUUUUAACACUGGAAAAAGGACAUCUUUCCCAGAUCCAGGGGAAAUCACUGGAUGAGAUCGAAAUUGAAGAUGAAAUUGCAUUAAGUGAUGCUGAAACAAAGGACAGUGAGAGUGAAUCAGAUGAUGAUGACACAGCACUCACAAUGUCGGCGUGUGGCACCAGUGAGCCUGUACAUGCAGUAGCUGAUUCCACAAACACAGCGCAGCUCCAAGACACUGUAGAUUGUGCAGAUGAAGAACCACUCAUAAUGCCUGCAGCAAGUGAGACUGCUGCUCCCUCUGAAGAUAAAAAUGCUGCUCAAUCCCACAAUUCCCGAAGAGCUCCCAAAAACAUGUGGUCCAAGGCUGAGGUUGCUGCAGUGAUGAGGCAUUUUAAAGACCACAUAAACGAAGGGAAACUGGCCACCAAAAAUGAAUGCAGUCAUUGCAAAUUGGUAGAAGAUCCGAUGUUGGCAGGAAGAACAGUUCAAAACAUAAGAGAUUUUGUAAGAAACAGAGGAUUAACUGCAAAAAGGCAGAAAAAAAUGAACUAAAAUAACUGUUUAGCCAGAUGUGGUUUUACAUCUUGGUCAGAUGGCCAAACUGUUGUUAAAACUGAGUUAUUGUGCAGCAGGCUGCCUGAUGUUCUGUUUAAAAAAAGUUCUUGUUAAUUACAGAAGUAGUUUGUAUUUCAUAAUUUUUUUAUUUAAUUUAUUUAGUUUUUUUGACAGGUUCUUAUUUUAAUAUAUUUUUUUUGACAGGUUAUAUUUAAAAUAAAAAAAUAUAAAUGCAUAUUUUCUCCCCUUAAUAUUUACCUUUAAACUUCUAUAUUUUUAUAUUUCUGUGGUUAGCGUGGGCAUUUUUGUCCAUAGGGUUAGG